rnacentral:tRNA from 2 species
GGGGCUGUAGGCUAGCAUGGUAGACUUGGAGGUUCGGGUCCUUCGGACCGGGGUUCAAAUCCCCGCAGCCCCA